rnacentral:tRNA from 1 species
GGCACGAUACUUUAAUAAAAAGGUUGGAUUUGCGUUUCAAAAUUGGGGUACUAUCCCUCGUGCCA